rnacentral:rRNA from 1 species
UGGCUCAGAUUGAACGCUGGCGGCAGGCCUAACACAUGCAAGUCGAACGGUAACAGGAAACAGCUUGCUGUUUCGCUGACGAGUGGCGGACGGGUGAGUAAUGUCUGGGAAACUGCCUGAUGGAGGGGGAUAACUACUGGAAACGGUAGCUAAUACCGCAUAAUGUCGCAAGACCAAAGAGGGGGACCUUCGGGCCUCUUGCCAUCGGAUGUGCCCAGAUGGGAUUAGCUAGUAGGUGGGGUAACGGCUCACCUAGGCGACGAUCCCUAGCUGGUCUGAGAGGAUGACCAGCCACACUGGAACUGAGACACGGUCCAGACUCCUACGGGAGGCAGCAGUGGGGAAUAUUGCACAAUGGGCGCAAGCCUGAUGCAGCCAUGCCGCGUGUAUGAAGAAGGCCUUCGGGUUGUAAAGUACUUUCAGCGGGGAGGAAGGGAGUAAAGUUAAUACCUUUGCUCAUUGACGUUACCCGCAGAAGAAGCACCGGCUAACUCCGUGCCAGCAGCCGCGGUAAUACGGAGGGUGCAAGCGUUAAUCGGAAUUACUGGGCGUAAAGCGCACGCAGGCGGUUUGUUAAGUCAGAUGUGAAAUCCCCGGGCUCAACCUGGGAACUGCAUCUGAUACUGGCAAGCUUGAGUCUCGUAGAGGGGGGUAGAAUUCCAGGUGUAGCGGUGAAAUGCGUAGAGAUCUGGAGGAAUACCGGUGGCGAAGGCGGCCCCCUGGACGAAGACUGACGCUCAGGUGCGAAAGCGUGGGGAGCAAACAGGAUUAGAUACCCUGGUAGUCCACGCCGUAAACGAUGUCGACUUGGAGGUUGUGCCCUUGAGGCGUGGCUUCCGGAGCUAACGCGUUAAGUCGACCGCCUGGGGAGUACGGCCGCAAGGUUAAAACUCAAAUGAAUUGACGGGGGCCCGCACAAGCGGUGGAGCAUGUGGUUUAAUUCGAUGCAACGCGAAGAACCUUACCUGGUCUUGACAUCCACAGAACUUUCCAGAGAUGGAUUGGUGCCUUCGGGAACUGUGAGACAGGUGCUGCAUGGCUGUCGUCAGCUCGUGUUGUGAAAUGUUGGGUUAAGUCCCGCAACGAGCGCAACCCUUAUCCUUUGUUGCCAGCGGUCCGGCCGGGAACUCAAAGGAGACUGCCAGUGAUAAACUGGAGGAAGGUGGGGAUGACGUCAAGUCAUCAUGGCCCUUACGACCAGGGCUACACACGUGCUACAAUGGCGCAUACAAAGAGAAGCGACCUCGCGAGAGCAAGCGGACCUCAUAAAGUGCGUCGUAGUCCGGAUUGGAGUCUGCAACUCGACUCCAUGAAGUCGGAAUCGCUAGUAAUCGUGGAUCAGAAUGCCACGGUGAAUACGUUCCCGGGCCUUGUACACACCGCCCGUCACACCAUGGGAGUGGGUUGCAAAAGAAGUAGGUAGCUUAACCUUCGGGAGGGCGCUUACCACUUUGUGAUUCAUGACUGGGGUGAAGUCGUAACAAGGUAACCGUAGGGGAACCUGCGGUUGGAUCACCUCCUU